CAUCUUUGCAGCAGCCAUAACUCUA
rnacentral:piRNA from 1 species